CUGCAUAUACGUAAUGUGCUGUAUUAUAAAAAACUUUUAUUUUAACAUUCUUCAGGAUGGUCUAUGGCUUGUUACAACUGAACCAGAUAUUAUAACGGGUUAUUCAUCGACGAUUCUGACUCCCAAUGCCAUGGAAUUUACUCGUCUUUAUAAAAGAGUAGUAAGAAUGAAAGAAUCAUAUAAAUACAUAUUGAUUAUUAUAUUCACACGUCAAGCUAUAGUUGGGACAAAAUUAUUGUCUGUUUAUUUCAAUUAGCCUUUCUCACGAAUGCCAAAAUCCGCCAUUUUGGGGGCACUGUCUGCCCUCCUGAAAGAUUCUAGACAAUUCAAACAACGUGAAAAGCGACUUUUAAAAGUUGUAACUGCAAAUUUACCAUUACCAUGCUCCAUGUAUUUCAUGGUGCGGAGACUCUCAAACGUGGGAGAGACAAAUCAGACAGUACCCCAAAGUGGCGGAAAGAUCGGCCGUGCAUGAGAAAGGCUAAUUCAAUUAUAAUAUAUAAUACCAUUUUUAACAGAUAGGAGUUGACCUGCCUUUAUCAAGUAUAACUCCAGAUCAUGUAAAACAGCUGGCAAUGGCUCUUGGGGGUGUUACAAUCAAUGCAAAAGGAAGGCAUGAUAUCAUUUCAGAUGGUGAACAAGGUGACACAAUUCAUGACAUUUCAGUCAACAUCAUGUACAAAACUAUAUUAUUAUAUAUAAUAAUUAUAUACAUGCAG